rnacentral:rRNA from 1 species
AUUGAACGCUGGCGGCAGGCCUAACACAUGCAAGUCGAACGAGUGGCGGACGGGUGAGUAAUGUCUGGGAAACUGCCUGAUGGAGGGGGAUAACUACUGGAAACGGUAGCUAAUACCGCAUACCAUCGGAUGUGCCCAGAUGGGAUUAGCUAGUAGGUGGGGUAACGGCUCACCUAGGCGACGAUCCCUAGCUGGUCUGAGGGGAGGACCAGCCACACUGGAACUGAGAACCGGUCCAGACUUCGAGGGGAGGCAGCGGGGGGGAAUAUUGCACAAUGGGCGCAAGCCGGAUGCAGCCAUGCCGCGUGUAUGAAGAAGGCCUUCGGGUUGUAAAGUACUUUCAGCGGGGAGGCGUUACCCGCAGAAGAAGCACCGGCUAACUCGGUGCCAGCAGCCGCGGUAAAC